GAUGAGGCUCGCUAGCGAGGGAGACUGCUAAUCUCCUGCACCUUGGUUGAACUCCGAGGCUCACUCG
rnacentral:tRNA from 1 species